CCGGCCACAAUAAUGAGAAUUCGGGAUCAAAUCAUGUGACUAGUUUUAAAUGUCUCCAAUUCUAUAAUCAUAACUCGUAUAUGGUUUAAAAGACACAACCUAAUCUAAUGCUGAAAAUAUAAAAAAAGUUAACCUUACUUUCUCGUUUGGUAGCUCGCCUGUGCGACCGGACGGCCAGAGUGCGUUCGUUGGAUAUCGACACAACGAAACAUUUCCGUGUCUUCACUUCUCGAUGGAGAGAUUUGGUAGAAGAUCUAGCAUGCGGCCGACGGCGGCCAGCGGCUCGAUCACGGGAGCAGUUUUUUGUCAGCAGUUUUGAAACGAAGGGAUUAGAGGAGAUCGGAACUGCUUCGUGCCCCUUAGCUUUCAUACUGGGGCUACA
rnacentral:lncRNA from 1 species